rnacentral:tRNA from 1 species
GGGAGGGGCUGUGAUUCAGUGGAAGAGCUUCUGCUUCGCAUGCAGAAGAUCCUGGUUCAAUCCCCCCCCCCCCA